UUCAUAUUCAAGAAAAGUUAUAAGCUUCUCUUCAAAAAAGCCUACAAAGAAAAAGAAAACUCCCUCGUGGCAUCUAUGUCAAAAAAUAUACAUAGCUCGGGGCGGAUUAUUUUUGUAUUCUUUAUCGUUAUCCUUCUCUUUAAUUCUUGCAUUGCGGUUCGACAGGAGAGAAAAUUGAAGGAGGUGACUUUGAAGCAUUAUCAAGAUAAGGGUAAGUUACCACAUAAUGGCUUGAUUUUCACUAGACUCCCUAAAGGAGACCCCAUUCCUCCUUCUGGUCCAUCCAAGAGGCACAACGAAGUUGUGAAUUCUACUCCUCAAAACUGAAAAUGUACAAUUCAAACUUUUUUCCCCAGAAUUGGCCAUAUUUUUACUUUUUGUGCUUUUAAAGAGUUUUGCUGUUAUAUACAUAUAGUGCCUCAGAAGAGAUUUUAAGGCACUAAUUUUUAUAUAUUUUUUGUUCUUGGUUCUUGUUAUACUGUAAUAUUUAGUGCUUGUUUUAACCAAAACUGUAGUAAAUAGAAUAGGUGAAGAUCUGAUCAAAUAAGUCAUCAGUAUACGUUAAGUGUAUUUUUUAGUUUCUUUAUCAGUAUGGAUUAUACUAAUUAAUAUAAUUGGCCUGGAUAAUUUGCCUAAUAGUUGUUAGCAAGGGAGAAAUUGAAAAGAUGGUGAAUGACUUGAAAGGGUGUAGAUAUACUCACCAAUUCAGGCCUGGUCCUGUGCAGAGACCAGUGAGGCUGUUGGCUCAGGCCCAAAACUGAAGGGGCCUCAUUUGCCCCCCCCCCCCCCCCCCCCCCUUUUUUUUUUUUGAGGUAUGAAAUGAUGCAAAAGGAACAUCAGUAUUUUUUUAUUUUUUUUGUCUUUUGAAUUGGGCUUUUUCUCUUCUUCCUUCUCUUUCGUGCCCGUCUUCUCCUCUUCUUUGUUUUUCACCACAAUCAGCAGCACUGGCUAACAAGGUCAAAAAUUUUUUGGGGGCCUAAUUCAGAAACUUCGUCUCAAGCCCUAACUAUCACAGGACCGACCCAUAUACAUAAUAUGAGAGAUGGUGAAGAUACUGCUCUAAUUUGUUUUUAGUGUAAUGAUAAACAGACAUGCAGAAAGAUAGGAAAUAAAUAACAGGCUGAUAUGUCAGCAAGUUGUUGGCUUUUUUUUUUCAAACUCUCCAAUCAUGCAUCUACACGUGUGUAGCCUAUUUUUUAACCCUAUAUUUCACCCUAUUUCUAUAGCAAAACUCUUAUUUUGACAACCUGAUAAACGAAAAAAGUAGAUGGGGGUGAAUAUGUACAAUUUUAUUUUGGUGUUGAUUGUUAACUACUUUCUGGUGGAUUUUUCAUACCUAAUAAAUUUGCUUAAUGAUUUAAAACAAUUGAUGGAUACGUCAUAGACUUGGCUUGACUCAAAAAUUUGGGUUAGAUGAUUUUUUGGCCAGUCGGACCAUUUAGUGGUAAGUAUGGACUUGGAUAUUAGCUAAUUAGUUUAGGUUUAAGUAGCAGACCAUUUGCAUGAGUCUUUGCCCAAUUGUGUGACCUAAAUGGUUUGGCUUUAUUUUAUUUCUCGUCUCCAGCGGUCGUUUGUGUAGUGCAACAGAGAGAAGAAAUGAGAGAGGCAACCGGAUUUCAUUGCAAUUGAGAGCUUUGCUUGAGUUAUUGGUGUCCUCCUUCUCUUCCUUUGUGAUAUUGCAUACCACCACCAUUAGAGUCUCUUUUGUGGAGUGAAACUUGAAGCAACCAAAGUGGAGGUUUGGUUUGGGUCAAGCCUUGGAGAUUGUGGUAUUCGUUUGAUUAUUUUCUGAGUUUGGAAUUAAAGAUUUCUUAAAAAUUUCUGCGUAAACUUUCCAUUAAUUUAGUAAUAAUAAAGCUUGAUUUAUUAUUGUUGUGUUUCUAAGAGCAUCUUUUCUGCUGUAAUGAGAAUAUAAUGAGUUGAGAAAGAAUUAAAUAAGUGUUCGGUAAAUUUUGUUUUAGAAUUGUUGUAUGUUUCAAAAUCAGUAUUUUUAGCAUUUGCUAAAUAAAAUUAAUUUAUUAAUGUUGAGCCGAUAUACAGUUAAUAAAGU
rnacentral:lncRNA from 1 species